rnacentral:rRNA from 1 species
UACGGAGGGUGCAAGCGUUAUCCGGAUUCACUGGGCUUAAAGGGUGCGUAGGCGGGCUAGUAAGUCAGUGGUGAAAUCUCCGGGCUUAACCCGGAAACUGCCAUUGAUACUAUUAGUCUUGAAUGUCGUGGAGGUAAGCGGAAUAUGUCAUGUAGCGGUGAAAUGCUUAGAUAUGACAUAGAACACUGAUAGCGUAGGCAGCUUGCUACACGAAUAUUGACACUGAGGCACGAAAGCGUGGGGAUCAAACAGG